CCUACGGGAGGCAGCAGUGGGGAAUCUUCCGCAAUGGACGAAAGUCUGACGGAGACGCCGCGUGAAGUGAUAGACGGCCUUCGGGUUGUAAAGCUCUGUUAAUCGGGACGAAAGGCCUUCUUGCGAAUAGUGAGAAGGAUUGACGGUACCGGAAUAGAAAGCCACGGCUAACUACGUGCCAGCAGCCGCGGUAA
rnacentral:rRNA from 1 species